CGAAAAAUCCAAAAGCAGAACACCAACAUAUCCAUGGAGCUUAGCAAUGGUUGCUCAGUGCCCAAAAUUCACCAAUUACCCACUUAAUCCCUCAACAUCCUAUACAAAAUACAAUAUUCACAAGCUCUCAAUUGCAUCUUGAGCAAUGCUUUCAACUUCAUAAAAGAAAAUUCUCUUCCUGUUGAAGAAUCCAAAGCCUCCCUCAUCGUCCUCCUCAUUGAGCUCCUCUCUCUCCAAUUCCCCCAAUAUCUCUAUGGUUCUUCCAGUUCGAAUCACGAAAAGCACUCAAUUCCCACAGAGAGAUGGGAGGGAGGAAUGGAUUGGACUGGGAUACAAUAUAGAGGUGGGUG
rnacentral:lncRNA from 1 species